AUUGAACGCUGGCGGCAUGCUUUACACAUGCAAGUCGAACGGUAACAGGGUGCUUGCACCGCUGACGAGUGGCGAACGGGUGAGUAAUGCGUCGGAACGUGCCGAGUAGUGGGGGAUAACGCAGCGAAAGUUGUGCUAAUACCGCAUACGUACUGAGGUAGAAAGUGGGGGACCUUCGGGCCUCACGCUAUCUGAGCGGCCGACGUCUGAUUAGCUAGUAGGUGAGGUAAAGGCUCACCUAGGCGACGAUCAGUAGCGGGUCUGAGAGGAUGAUCCGCCACACUGGGACUGAGACACGGCCCAGACUCCUACGGGAGGCAGCAGUGGGGAAUUUUGGACAAUGGACGAAAGCCUGAUCCAGCCAUGCCGCGUGUCUGAAGAAGGCCUUCGGGUUGUAAAGGACUUUUGUCAGGGAGGAAAUCCCUAGCGUUAAUACCGCUGGGGGAUGACAGUACCUGAAGAAUAAGCACCGGCUAACUACGUGCCAGCCGCCGCCGUAAUAC
rnacentral:rRNA from 1 species